GUGUGUGUGUGUGUGUGUGUGUGUGUGUGUGUGUGUAGGAGCUGACGAAGAGAGAGGUGGUUAACGUCACACACCUGGUGAUCUCUGCCGAGCUUGGCUCUUUACUGCAGGCUGCAUCAGGUGGCAGAGAGCUCCAUUCUGAGUGUCUAGCUCUGGUCCAGGCACCACACAUCCAGGAGCAGAACCAGCUGACUCUGCCGCUGGACAUCAACGACUACCCCUUCAGCCGCUACGCACAACUCUACUUCAGGGAGCCUAUGUUUGGGAUGCUAA